GAUGAACGCUGGCGGCGUGCCUAAUACAUGCAAGUCGAGCGAACAGACGAGGAGCUUGCUCCUCUGACGUUAGCGGCGGACGGGUGAGUAACACGUGGAUAACCUACCUAUAAGACUGGGAUAACUUCGGGAAACCGGAGCUAAUACCGGAGAAUAUAUUGAACCGCAUGGUUCAAUAGUGAAAGACGGUUUUGCUGUCACUUAUAGAUGGAUCCGCGCCGCAUUAGCUAGUUGGUAAGGUAACGGCUUACCAAGGCAACGAUGCGUAGCCGACCUGAGAGGGUGAUCGGCCACACUGGAAUUGAGACACGGUCCAGACUCCUACGGGAGGCAGCAGUAGGGAAUCUUCCGCAAUGGGCGAAAGCCUGACGGAGCAACGCCGCGUGAGUGAUGAAGGUCUUCGGAUCGUAAAACUCUGUUAUUAGGGAAGAACAAAUGUGUAAGUAACUAUGCACGUCUUGACGGUACCUAAUCAGAAAGCCACGGCUAACUACGUG
rnacentral:rRNA from 1 species